AACGAACGCUGGCGGCGUGCCUAACACAUGCAAGUCGAACGAGAAAGGGGCUUCGGCUCCGAGUAAAGUGGCGCACGGGUGAGUAACACGUGGGUAACCUGCCUCUAAGAUUGGGAUAACUCGUCGAAAGAUGAGCUAAUACCGAAUAAGACCACAGUUCCCGCGGGAACAGGGGUCAAAGGUAGCCUCUGCUUGCAAGCUAUCACUUAGAGAUGGGCCUGCGCACCAUUAGCUAGUUGGUAGGGUAACGGCCUACCAAGGCAAAGAUGGUUAGCUGGUCUGAGAGGAUGAUCAGCCACACUGGAAGUGAGACACGGUCCAGACUCCUACGGGAGGCAGCAGUGGGGAAUAUUGCGCAAGGGGCGAAAGCUUGACGCAGCAACGCCGCGUGAGUGAUGAAGGCCGUCGGGUCGUAAAGCUCUGUCGGGAGGAACGAAUGCUCCUGAGGUUAACAGCCUCGGGAGGUGACGGUACCUUCAAAGGAAGCACCGGCUAACUCUGUG
rnacentral:rRNA from 1 species